AUUGAACGCUGGCGGCAUGCCUUACACAUGCAAGUCGAACGGUAACAGGUCUUCGGAUGCUGACGAGUGGCGAACGGGUGAGUAAUGCAUCGGAACGUGCCCAGUUGUGGGGGAUAACUGCUCGAAAGAGCAGCUAAUACCGCAUACGACCUGAGGGUGAAAGCGGGGGAUCGCAAGACCUCGCGCAAUUGGAGCGGCCGAUGUCAGAGUAGGUAGUUGGUGGGGUAAAGGCCUACCAAGCCGACGAUCUGUAGUUGGUCUGAGAGGACGACCAGCCACACUGGGACUGAGACACGGCCCAGACUCCUACGGGAGGCAGCAGUGGGGAAUUUUGGACAAUGGGCGCAAGCCUGAUCCAGCAAUGCCGCGUGCAGGAAGAAGGCCUUCGGGUUGUAAACUGCUUUUGUCAGGGAAGAAAUCCUCUGGGUUAAUACCCCGGGGGGAUGACGGUACCUGAAGAAUAAGCACCGGCUAACUACGUGCCAGCCGCCGCAGUAA
rnacentral:rRNA from 1 species